GCAGUAGUGAUCCACGGAGGCAGGGAGCCUGCUGGCGCUGCAGCCGGAGAGAGGGAGCCAGUGAAAGAGAGAGAGGGAGGGAGAAGUCCCUUUCUCUUAAACAGUAGACACUUUGCGGGGGUGGAAUGAGGUCCAGGACUGCUGAGAACAUCUCUAACAAUGGAUCAUGGUGAUUUAAGGAAGUCAUGAGUACAAUCCUGUGGGUUUAGGGUCAAAGAACAGGCGGUUGUUGAGGGUCAUGCAGUGGUGGCUAAGGAGCCUUCAGGACCUUUCAUCUCAGCUUGGCUUGAUCGUAUAUCUCCAUAUGACUUUGCUUGACGAUUACCAUAGCAGCCAUAAAGAAAGUCUGUCCCUGGAGAAGAAAACCUUCAAUUACAGAAUCUGUUGUGCUGUGCUUUUUAAUAGCAGCUUUCACAAUAACUAAGUCAGUGCUGAGCCAUGGAGAGAGAGGAGUUCUGCAACUUCAAACAAACGGACAGCUGCAGGGCAAAAGGGGUCACAGGAGAGGGCAGGAGGAGCCUUGGGUAAAUGAAGGCAACGUCACAGAAGAUCUGAUGAGGUGCUUUCAAGAGAGUCUGUGAGUGAUGCUUCAAACAUUCAUUACGGGAAGGCAGAUGGACAAAAUGGAUGCACCAUUAGAUGGAUGCAAGAUGAGGUCAAGAUGCACAAUGCGCUGUGGCAUUUUCAAAGCAAGCACCAAGAUGGACAAAUAUAAUCAGACAAGAAGAGCAACCUGCCAUAUGAUAAAUGAUCAGAUGCGUGAAAACUUACAUUAGAGAAAACAGUGCUUGGUACCACAAAUUGCAAUUGGUGUGUUUUUUAAUUCUUUUUAACCUCUCGAAGGUUUCUGAUUUAAAGGCACCAGUCUUGCAGGUGUGCUGCUUUACAAAUGCACACCGUGUAGAAGUGGUACAUUUUGUGGCCCGUCAUCAAAACGUUAACAAUGUUUGUUGCAAACAGAGAUGUGCUUGAACAGCACCAGGUGUCCACUGCUCCCAUUGUGCCUUUCACUUGUCCUUUUUGCCAUCCCUGCAGCCAUUUUAUUGUACUCCCUCCUUUCUUUCUUCAUGUCCUCACUCAGAACAUAAAAUUGGCUCCAGGCACCUCAAGUGCCAAUCACUGCUAUUGUUUGUGCUUACGUUUUCUCCAGAGAAAUUUCAACGUGCAAUUACCGACUGAACACUUUCUAGCGGUAAUGCUCCACAAAUCCCUAAGAAAUCCCACCGCACCAACAGUGAUGGUUUACACAUCUAAUCCUGUAUUAGUAAGGAUUUUUUUUGCACUCUGUAAGUGAUAGUAAAACCUCCAGCAGAGUGAUGUUACAUUUGCUUUUCCCCCACAUAACUGCUCUUUUUUCCCUUUUACAAAGCAGGUGGUAGUCGUAGAAACCCUGAUAUGUUCACUUACAAUAAACGAACAGUUGAGAUUCCUGCCAGGUCCUGGCUGCCUCGUGGAGUGUUGAGUCUGCUCUUUAUUUUUUAUAACCCACAUAUGCUUCUUGAAAAAAAAUCAACCCAGCCUCAUGGCCUUUGUAUGCAGUAUUUUUGCAGUGCAGCUUGCCAUUGUUCUGCCAGUUCGCAUCUAUAUGCAUCUACAUUACAUGUACGUGCGAGAGAAAGUGGGAAAAGCGUGUAAAUGGCCUUCACAAAUGCAAAUGCAUGCAUUCUCAGAGAUGUCUGAAGAGCAAAAACAUUCUCUACAGUUUCUCAGGGGAGCAUACAUUAGAAAAAAAGACAAAUAGGCCUAGCAUAAUUACAUACAUUGCAAUGCAAUCUUAGACUAUCAUUAGAGAGUAUUCAUCAUGUGUAUUUGCUCUUGCUUAUUCUCUACAGAACACUGUAAAUUACUAGCACAUACCUUUUCUGAAUCUUUUGGUGCAACAGAUGAAUUAUUUUAUUUUAUUUUUAUUUCCUACUAGUACAAAUUACAUGGAAAAUAUGUAGAACAUGAUAAAAAAAAGGCAAUUGUUUAAACAUUCACUUCAGCACAAGUGUGUUAUGUGGCUGAGAAAACUGCAUUCUGGUGUGAAAUGUUUAUCUGUGUUUACAUGGACCUCCUGUCAGUGUUUUUAUAGACACGACCCAACACCUCUUCACUCUGCUCCCAUCUCAGUUAGUUUGAAAAUGAAUUCAUAAGUGCCCAGAUACAUGAGCAAAAAACAGGAAAAAACACGCCUCCAAAAUACGUAAUGACAAGAAAUGUAGUGAAUCCCAGGAGUUAAGGGAGCAAAACUGGCCAUGCUUUCUGGGUGGGAUGGCAUACUCUCUCCUGUCAAUCACAGCAACAAAAGCCAAUCAUGGGUGUCUGUGUGAUUGUGUAUGUGGAAGAGGGUAGAUAGCGCUUUCCAGCAAGUGUGUUACACUGCCCUGUGACGCAGCAUGAGCAGCAGUUUGAAAAGACAUGAUUGGCUGGCUUCAUACGUCUCAGAGGAAGCAUGUGUUAGACUUCACGCUCCCCAUUUGGUAGCUGUCGUAUGAUAGUGGAGAACUGGCUGGUGGGUGGGAAUUAGCAGGUGACCAAAAUGGGGGAAAAAAAAGAAAUGUAAUUCAUCUAGAAAACUACCAUUUUUCAAAGAUGAAGAAAUUUAUUACUAGUGAAGGAGAUGAAUUUGGACACAGAAUGUUCCUCCUUGAUAUGUAUGUGCAUGCAAUAUGUAUAAUGCAUUGAACUGUUCAAAUGGCUGGCUUUACAUAUCAAAUAAAGCAGAUACUAUUUUA